AACGAACGCUGGCGGCAGGCCUAACACAUGCAAGUCGAGCGGACCCUUCGGGGUUAGCGGCGGACGGGUGAGUAACGCGUGGGAAUAUGCCCUUCUCUACGGAAUAGUCCUGGGAAACUGGGGGUAAUACCGUAUACGCCCUUUGGGGGAAAGAUUUAUCGGGGAAGGAUUAGCCCGCGUUGGAUUAGGUAGUUGGUGGGGUAAUGGCCUACCAAGCCGACGAUCCAUAGCUGGUUUGAGAGGAUGAUCAGCCACACUGGGACUGAGACACGGCCCAGACUCCUACGGGAAGCAGCAGUGGGGAAUCUUAGACAAUGGGGGCAACCCUGAUCUAGCCAUGCCGCGUGAGUGAUGAAGGCCUUAGGGUUGUAACGCUCUUUCAGCUGGGAAGAUAAUGACGGUACCAGCAGAAGAAGCCCCGGCUAACUCCGUG
rnacentral:rRNA from 1 species